GAGCUCACUUUGACAGCAUAUACACUAAAAUUAGAAUAAUGCAGAGAAAAUUAGCAUGGCCCCUGCACAAGGAUGACACACAAAUUAGGGAAGCAGUUCAUAUUUUU